UACGUAGGGGGCAAGCGUUGUCCGGAUUUAUUGGGCGUAAAGAGCUCGUAGGCGGUUUGUCGCGUCUGCUGUGAAAACCCGAGGCUCAACCUCGGGCCUGCAGUGGGUACGGGCAGACUAGAGUGCGGUAGGGGAGAUUGGAAUUCCUGGUGUAGCGGUGGAAUGCGCAGAUAUCAGGAGGAACACCAAUGGCGAAGGCAGAUCUCUGGGCCGUAACUGACGCUGAGGAGCGAAAGCAUGGGGGAGCGAACAGG
rnacentral:rRNA from 1 species